AGGGCAGAUAGAUCUUGACCUGAUAAACAUUUUUAUCCCAUGUCAGAUUUCCUCAAAAUGCUUUGGUUUUUGAGUUAUAAGCCAAAAACUGAAUUUUACCCCUUUGUUCUAUUUUUAGCCGUGGCGGCCAUCUUGGUUGGUUGACCAGGUCAUGCCACACAUUUUUUAAACUAGAUACCCCAAAGAUGAUUGUGGCCAAGUUUGGAUUAAUUUGGCCCAGUAGUUUCAGAGGAGAAGAUUUUUGUAAAAGAUUACUUUAAUUAACGAAAAAUGGUUAAAAAUUGACUAUAAAGGGCAAUAACUCCUAAACGGGUCAACUGACCAUUUUGGUCAUGUUGACUUAUUUGUAGAUCUUACUUUGCUGAACAUUAUUGCUGUUUACAGUUUACCUCUAUCUAUAAUAAUAUUCAAGAUAAUAACCAAAAACAGCAAAAUUUCCUCAAAAUUACCAAUUCAGGGGCAGCAACCCAACAACCGAUUGACCGAUUCAUCUGAAAAUUUCAGGGCAGAUAGAUCUUGACCUGAUAAACAUUUUUACCCCAUGUCAGAUUUGCUCUAAAUGCUUUGGUUUUUGAGUUAUAAGCCAAAAACUGCAUUUUACCCCUAUGUUCUAUUUUUAGCCGUGGCCGCCAUCUUGGUUGGUUGACAGGGUCACGCCACACAUUUUUUAAACUAGAUACCCCAAUGAUGAUUGUGGCCAAGUUUGGUUUGAUUUGGCCCAGUAGUUUCAGAGGAGAAGAUUUUUGUAAAAGUUAACGACGACGGACGACGACGGACGACGACGACGACGGACGACGACGCCGGACGCCGGACGCAAAGUGAUGGGAAUAGCUCACUUGGCCCUUCGGGCCAGGUGAGCUAAAAACAGCAAAAUUUCCUUAAAAUUACCAAUUCAGGGGCAGCAACCUAUCAACGGGUUGUCCGAUUCAUCUCAAAAAUUCAGGGCAGAUAGAUCUUGACCUGAUAAACAAUUUUACCCCCCAUGUCAGAUUUGCUCUAAAUGCUUUGGUUUUUGAGUGAUAAGCCAAAAACUGCAUUUUACACCUAUGUUCUAUUUUUAGCCAUGGCAGCCAUCUUGGUUAGUUGGCCAGGUCACCAGACACAAUUUUUAAACUAGAUACCCGAAUGAUGAUUGUGGCCAAGUUUGGUUUAAUUUGGUCCAGUGGUUUCAGAGGAGAAGAUUUUUGUAAAAGAUAACUAAGAUUUACGAAAAAUGGUUAAAAAUUGACUAUAAAGGGCAAUAACUCCUAAAGGGGUCAACAGACCAUUUUGGUCAUGUUGACUUAUUUGUAGAUCUUACUUUGCUGAACAUUUUUGCUGUUACAAUUUAUCUCUAUCUAUAAUAAUAUUCAAGAUAAUAACCAAAAACAGCAAAAUUUCCUUAAAAUUACCAAUUCAGGGGCAGCAACCUAUCAACGAGUUGUCCGAUUCAUCUCAAAAUUUCAGGGCAGAUAGAUCUUGACCUGAUUAACAAUUUUACCACAUGUCAGAUUUGCUCUAAAUGCUUUGGUUUUUGAGUUAUAAGCCAAAAACUGCAUUUUACCCCUAUGUUCUAUUUUUAGCCAUGGCGGCCAUCUUGGUUGGUUGGCCGGGUCACCGGACACAAUUUUUAAACUAGAUACCCCAAUGAUGAUUGUGGCCAAGUUUGGUAAAAAUUGGCCCAGUAGUUUCAGAGGAGAAGAUUUUUGUAAAAGCUAACGACGGACGACGGACGCCAAGUGAUGAGAAAAGCUCACUUGGCCCUUCGGGCCAGGUGAGCUAAAAAU
rnacentral:lncRNA from 1 species